UAUAUUUUAUGUGUAAUAUAUUUUAUAUGUAAUAUUAUAAUAAUAUUGGCAAUCUUGAGCUCGAUGGAUAUUGUUCCAGAACCAUCUGUAUUUUUUCAUGUCUAUAAUAAUAAUUACUGAUGCGUCAUAGCAUCUCUGUUGGUCCUGAAAGAGAUGUAAGUAUUCCAAAAAACAGCGACUAUUUGAUUGACAAGAACUUGAUAAUUAAGUGGAACAAGACCAAAGUUAAUUAACUGAACCAGAGGCCAAAGCUGAAAAAUUAAAUUAUUAAAAAUAAAAAGCCGAUGGUCGCCAACAAUGCAGCAAUGAAUGGAGGCGCAAAUAGAAAUUGGUCACAAGCGACUUUUUUUACGGCAACGACACUGCCCUUGGAGCCGAAAAAUUUGUCGAGAACUCCAUACCAGCCUCUCACAGCAGCCAUGAAGAAACCAAUAGCAUAAAAUUGCGCCGUUCUAACAAAAUCCAGUUCGCUAAUUUUUCGCUUCUCGACCAAAUUUUGGGCGAUUUGAUCACCAACACCCAUCAGUGUGCCUUCAAAAUUUUUAAUUACACAUCAGUAAGUAGUAUUUAAUUCAUAAAAAGUGAAAAAUACUUACCAGCUUGAAGCGCUUGCAUACCCAUAGGAUAUUUAACAAGCAUAUUUUUAUAAACUUUAAAAAAUUUACUCAUAUUUAAUUAAUUUAAAUAAAUAAUUACAACUAAACAAACUUAUAUAAAUAAUUAAAUGACUUCCACAAAAGGUUAAAAUAAAUUGCAUAAUUUUAUUACUCUUAAAUCCUCAUCUGUCAACAGAACAUUUGUUUCUUAAUUUUAAAUCACUUUUACAAUUUAUCAAUAAUUACAUUUUAAUUUAUAAAAAAAUAUAAAUAAUUUUUAUUUUAAAAAAUGUCAAUUUUAACUUUUUUUAAGUAAUUCACAAUAUUUUUGACUACAAGUGAUUUUUAUUUAUAAUUUUUUUUGACUUUUCCCACAUGAUCCGCAUCGACUAUCGAUACAUCGACUUGUUUCGAUAUAAAUACUAACAAUAAUAAUAUAUAUUUAUAGUUAAGUUUGUUUAUAACCUCAAUCAUGUUGCCAUGGAUAGAGUUUUAGUAACAAAACAUCAGUAAUAGAUCAAACAAAUUUCAAUUGUCAGCAAUAUAGUUAGUAAAAAUAUAUACCAGCUCAAUUGUUAAUUACUAACUAAAAAUAAUUGAUUUCCUCAGGAAUUUAUUUAUUAUCACAAAUAUCAAGAUUUUAUGACCGGACACCGACUGGGACAUCAUAGUGGUGGACCCAAAAACGAAGAACCAAUAUCAAGAUACGGAUACGGUUAGCUGUGGGACAAGGUUAUUUUUACUAUGACAGCUAAUGUUAGAAGAUCUUAAGGAGAAGCGGAGGCAGCAAGAAUGGAAACAACGGGAAGCUGAACUUCAGGAGGAGUUAGAACAAUUGAAGCGGGAAUGGAAACGUCAGGAAGCCGAAUUUUAGAAGAAGUUAGAACAAUUUAAAUCUACUGCCCUUUCCCGGAAACGAAUCGACCUGACCAAGAUGAAGAA